rnacentral:rRNA from 1 species
CCCUUAGAUGUUCUGGGCUGCACGCGCGCUACACUGAUGCGCUCAACGAGUUUACGACCUUGCCCGGAAGGGUUGGGUAAUCUUUUUAAAACGCAUCGUGAUGGGGAUAGAUUAUUGCAAUUAUUAAUCUUUAACGAGGAAUUCCUAGUAAGCGCGAGUCAUCAGCUCGUGCUGAUUACGUCCCUGCCCUUUGUACACACCGCCCGUCGCUACUGCCAACUGAGAUGGGUCCUGAAUUGUUAGGAACGCCCGUCAAGGGGCCUACCCGGUCCCUAGUGCGGUGACGAGAAUAACUGUAAAUGGCAUAUCUUGUAGGGAGUAAAAGUCGUAACA